UACGAAGGGGGCUAGCGUUGUUCGGAUUUACUGGGCGUAAAGCGCACGUAGGCGGAUCGAUCAGUCAGGGGUGAAAUCCCAGGCUCAACCCUGGAACUGCCUUUGAUACUGUCGAUCUGGAGUAUGGAAGAGGUGAGUGGAAUUCCGAGUGUAGAGGUGAAAUUCGUAGAUAUUCGGAGGAACACCAGUGGCGAAGGCGGCUCACUGGUCCAUUACUGACGCUGAGGUGCGAAAGCG
rnacentral:rRNA from 1 species